rnacentral:rRNA from 1 species
AUUGAACGCUGGCGGCAUGCUUUACACAUGCAAGUCGAACGGUAACAGGCCGCAAGGUGCUGACGAGUGGCGAACGGGUGAGUAAUGCAUCGGAACGUGCCCAGUCGUGGGGGAUAACUACUCGAAAGAGUAGCUAAUACCGCAUACGAUCUAUGGAUGAAAGCGGGGGACCGUAAGGCCUCGCGCGAUUGGAGCGGCCGAUGUCAGAUUAGGUAGUUGGUGGGGUAAAGGCUCACCAAGCCAACGAUCUGUAGCUGGUCUGAGAGGACGACCAGCCACACUGGGACUGAGACACGGCCCAUACUCCUACGGGAGGCAGCAGUGGGGAAUUUUGGACAAUGGGCGCAAGCCUGAUCCAGCAAUGCCGCGUGCAGGAAGAAGGCCUUCGGGUUGUAAACUGCUUUUGUACGGAACGAAACGGCUCUGGUUAAUACCCGGGGCUAAUGACGGUACCGUAAGAAUAAGCACCGGCUAACUACGUG